rnacentral:snoRNA from 1 species
UAUUAAGCAUGAAACUAUCCCGAACCUGAUUCCUGUAAGAUUGACAACCCUGUCGGAUCUGACUUCUGAAAU